AGAGUUUGAUCCUGGCUCAGAUUGAACGCUGGCGGUAUGCUUUACACAUGCAAGUCGAACGGCAGCACGGGGCAACCUGGUGGCGAGUGGCGAACGGGUGAGUAACAUAUCGGAACAUAUCCGGAAGUGGGGGAUAACGUAGCGAAAGUUACGCUAAUACCGCAUAUGCCCUGAGGGGGAAAGGGGGGGAUCGCAAGACCUCUCGCUUUCGGAGUGGCCGAUAUCGGAUUAGCUAGAUGGUGAGGUAAAGGCUCACCAUGGCGACGAUCCGUAGCGGGUCUGAGAGGACGACCCGCCACACUGGAACUGAGACACGGUCCAGACUCCUACGGGAGGCAGCAGUGGGGAAUUUUGGACAAUGGGCGCAAGCCUGAUCCAGCCAUACCGCGUGAGUGAAGAAGGCCUUCGGGUUGUAAAGCUCUUUCAGCCGGAAAGAAAUCGCACUUUUUAAUACGGAGUGUGGAUGACGGUACCGGAAGAAGCACCGGCUAACUACGUGCCAGCAGCCGCGGU
rnacentral:rRNA from 1 species